rnacentral:SRP_RNA from 2 species
GCGGGGCGCGGUGGCGGGCGCCUGUAGUCCCAGCUACUGGGAUGCUGAGGCAGGAGAAUCGCUUGAACCUGGGAGUCGGAGGUUGCAGUGAGCCCAGAUUGCGCCACUGCACUCCAGCCUGGGCAACAGAGUGAGACUCCGUCUCAA